GCGGACUUAGCUCAGUUGGGAGAGCGCCAGACUGAAGAAACAAAUCAGUCAAACAGCUAAUCUGGAGGUCCUGUGUUCGAUCCACAGAGUUCGCA
rnacentral:tRNA from 1 species